UAGGGAAUCUUCGGCAAUGGACGGAAGUCUGACCGAGCAACGCCGCGUGAGUGAAGAAGGUUUUCGGAUCGUAAAGCUCUGUUGUUAGAGAAGAACGUUGGUAGGAGUGGAAAAUCUACCAAGUGACGGUAACUAACCAGAAAGGGACGGCUAACUACGUGCCAGCAGCCGCGGUAAUACGUAGGUCCCGAGCGUUGUCCGGAUUUAUUGGGCGUAAAGCGAGCGCAGGCGGUUCUUUAAGUCUGAAGUUAAAGGCAGUGGCUUAACCAUUGUACGCUUUGGAAACUGGAUGACUUGAGUGCAUAAGGGGAGAGUGGAAUUCCAUGUGUAGCGGUGAAAUGCGUAGAUAUAUGGAGGAACACCGGUGGCGAAAGCGGCUCUCUGGUCUGUAACUGACGCUGAGGCUCGAAAGCGUGGGGAGCAAACAGG
rnacentral:rRNA from 1 species